rnacentral:rRNA from 1 species
GACGAACGCUGGCGGCGUGCUUAACACAUGCAAGUCGAACGGAAAGGCCCUGCUUUUGUGGGGUGCUCGAGUGGCGAACGGGUGAGUAACACGUGAGUAACCUGCCCUUGACUUUGGGAUAACUUCAGGAAACUGGGGCUAAUACCGGAUAGGAGCUCCUGCUGCACGGUGGGGGUUGGAAAGUUUCGGCGGUUGGGGAUGGACUCGCGGCUUAUCAGCUUGUUGGUGGGGUAGUGGCUUACCAAGGCUUUGACGGGUAGCCGGCCUGAGAGGGUGACCGGCCACAUUGGGACCGAGAUACGGCACAGACUCCUCUGGGAGGCAGCAGUGGGGAAUAUUGCACAAUGGGCGGAAGCCUGAUGCAGCACCGCCGCGUGCGGGAUGACGGCCUUCGGGUUGUAAACCGCUUUCGCCUGUGACGAAGCGUGAGUGACGGUAAUGGGUAAAGAAGCACCGGCUAACUACGUG